GAUCCCUUAGCUCAGUUGGUAGAGCGGCUGACUUUUAAUCAGUAGGUCGCAGGUUCGAAUCCUGCAGGGAUCACCA
rnacentral:tRNA from 1 species